GACGAACGCUGGCGGCGUGCUUAACACAUGCAAGUCGAACGGUGAAGCGUCUUCCUUUUUGGUGGGUGUGGAUGAGCGGCGAACGAGUGAGUAACACGAGAGUAACCUGCACUCUAAUCCUGGACAAAUACACGAAAGUGUGGCUAAUAAGGGAUAUAAUGGGUCUGUCGCAUGAUGGGUGUGGGAAAGACAAUGUGUCGGUGGGGGAGGGGCUCGCGGCCAAUCAGCUUGUUGGUGGGGUGAUGGCCUACCAAGGCGGUGACGGGUAGCCGGCCUGAGAGGGUGGACGGUCACACUGGGGCUGAGACACGGCCCAGACUCCUACGGGAGGCAGCAGUGGGGAAGAUUGCACACUGGGCGCAAGCCUGAUGCAGCGACGCCGCGUGAGGGAUGGAGGCCUUCGGGUUGUGAGCCUCUUUCGCCAGUGAAGCAGGCCUGCCUCGUUUGUGGGUGGGUUGACGGUAGCUGGAUAAGAAGCGCCGGCUAACUACGU
rnacentral:rRNA from 1 species